rnacentral:tRNA from 1 species
GGGGAUGUAGCUCAGUGGUAGAGAGCUUGCCUAGCAUGCAAAAGGCCCUGGGUUCAAUCCCCAGCACCACAA